rnacentral:piRNA from 1 species
UCCCUGAUCAGUCCUCCCAGACUGCACUGGA